rnacentral:ncRNA from 2 species
ACAAGUGAAUCGGGAGAACCGGACGUGUCCGGUGCCGAAGGAGCAACCGCCCCGGAAACUCUCAGGCCGCAGGGACCGAUUUACCGCU